GACGUGAGCGUUAGACGUAAGCGUAGUAGCCCUAUUUGAGUGUUUAAUUCAUAUAGGGGGUAUGGACACAUAUUUAUACACCCGUCUGUCCACCUUGAUGGCGUAGUGUAGCACCGCAUUAAGGCGUGACGUGAGCGUUGGACGCGAGCCUAGUAGCCCUAUAUAGACCCAUGAAUUUAUAUAGGGAGUAUGGACGAGUGUAAAUACAUACAUAUAUUAUAGAGUCUGAGAGGCUCGAUAUUUUAUGGGAUAAAAGUUUUAUCGCUUGCGGCAUGCAUUCGAUUUUUCCUUAGAAAUUAAUUUGGGGAAACAUAAAUAUUUUAUUUAUUAUUUUAUUUUUGUCCACUCACUCUAACGUUAUUAAAUGUUUUCCCCUGGGCCCUUCGUUUUAAAUUGCCCAGUCUGCAGAGUUCGGGUUGGAUCUAGUAGGAGACGAGGCAUAGUCACCCGCAUUUCUGCCAGUUUUCGCCAGUAGGUUACCUGUUCAACCUACUCGUGUUUUCUUGCUUCUGCUUGUGUUUAGUAGCUCUGAAUACUUUAGAAUUUUUGUAUAUUAUGUGAUGUUCAGAAGUGUUAAAUUAAGAGUGUAAUAUGAAAUUUUCGAGUUAGGGUUGUCCAUCUGCAAGGGAGAUUUUCUUAAUCUUUUCAGUAAAUUUUCCUUGGAGGUGGUCCCCGCACGACUUACUCUGGGUUUCAGGCUGAAAUUCGGGGUGGGUCGUGUCAUAAAACUAUACAAAACUCCCAAACAGCGCCGGCGCCGGCGCAGGCUCCCCGGCAGCGGCGGCCGGAGGCCGAUUUCGGCAACCUCCAAUGCCUAUGAAAUUUUGACAAAAUAAUCUUCUCAUCAUGCUCUACAACUUUUCUAACUAGCACAACACCCAAAUCCAAGCCUAACUAGGCCAAUCGAAUGAAAACACACUAGCAAACCCUAGAGCUUCCACUCACCGGUUCUCCUUACCUAGACCACGAGAGGGCGAGCUCUUUGGAGGGAUUGCUGCACGGGAGGAGAGCUUCACAACGAGCCAAGACUCGCCGGCUGUGGCGGCCGGAGGAGGGAGCUCCGGCGAGAGGACAACCGGCUUCUAAGGAGGACUUCCUCUGUUCGGCGGGGUUGCAGCACCGCUCACCAGCCCAGGAAGGCGGCGGGGAGGACGAUGGACCGUGCUCGAGUGGUGCGGCGUCCCUGCUUGGCUGGACGGCGGCGGCGGGCGCUGGUCUUCCGGCAAAGUGAGAGAGAGCUCAGGAGAAGAAGAACCGGGGAAAGAAAAGAGAGAAGGAGAAAAAGAGGAGAAGAAGAGAAGAAAAAGAGAGGAGAAAAUAGGGUUUGGGCCUCACACCAACCCGGCCCAAUACGACAAUUAAACCCAACUCCACCAUUAAAACACCCCAAAAAUAAAUACCCUAAUAAAAAGUACCUUUUACUAGCUAAAAUUUUCCAUUUUUACCGUCGUCAUAUUUUCUCCUACGAAUAAUCCUCCGAAAAUAACCGUCCCCAAAACCCCUGUAGGGACCAAUUAAACUAUAACCUCAAUGACGGAGACGGUAAAAUUCUUAUUAUAAUCAAGCUAGUAAAUAAGGUAAAUAUUUUAGGGUCGGGAUGUGACAGAAUGAGUGUAUCCGCCCAUGCCUCAGCCUUGAUUCAAAUUAAUAUUUUAAACAGGAUGAGCAGUAAUUUUAGAUCGACGAAGGGUUCGAAAGGCCAAAGGUCCGAAUCGUCUGAGGGAACCAUGACAGCUAGACGUGCGACCCUUUAGGAGACGGCGCAAAGGCAGCCGGAGGUGCCCCAUUCAUCGAGGCAGCGGGGCCUCCCUCAUUCCUCGAGGCAGCUAUGGCCUCAGACCCAGAUGGAGGUGUCUGCACCCCGUAUGCCUGAGAUACACCGGGCGCCCACUCCAGGUCCUACUUCUUCCGAUAGUGGGUCAUCUGGGGUACAGACGCCGCCGCCUCAUCUGUUCCUUCCACUGAUGAUACCGGCCUUACCUGCAAUCGAUGGCUCAAGGACGCCGAUUUAUCCACUGCCCCCGCCAGUGGCUCCAUCAGCGGCGUACCGGUUUGUGCCUUUUGAUACGCCUCUUAUUUCCGCGAGGGUAUCAUCAUCGACGAUAGAGAAGGAAUCCCUCGCGUCCGCCGCAUCGCCCUCAGAUAAUGAAAGAAGAAUGAUUUGUUUUCUUAAAAUUCUUCGAUUUUAAUAAUGAAUUUGUUUUAUCAUGUGAUAGGUACCAUCGGAGCGAAGCCGGUAAAGAAGAAGAGAGGCCCCGUCACAGGGAAGGCUCUCGAGAAGAUGGUCGGUACCUCAGGGAGGAUCGUCAUCUGUACUGACGGGGAUGGCGACAUAGUAUCGGGCAGGAAGUCGAGGACGUACUCCGGCCGCGUGGGAGCGCUCAUUAGGGACAGAGUCCCUAUGUUGUGGUCAGACUGGGGCGAGGUCUCGCAGGAGGUUAAGGACAUGGUCCACAACGCAAUGUCGGUGAGUUUACAAAAUGCCUCAAUAAUAUUAUGUAUUAUAUUGUUGAUUUCUCAAAAAACUAAACUAAUAAACGGUUAAAUGCAGGUGUGGUUUGAGGUUCCCGAGCACCUAAAGAGCAGCUGGGCGCACGUUGUACAUGGAGGAAGGUACGUUGGGAAGUUAAUGAAAAAACAAAAUUGUAUGUGAUAUUAAUAAUAUUUCUAAUAUUUUUGUUGUAUCUGUAGGUACAAGGAGUGGAAGAACGAGUUGCGGACCCCCUAGACUACGCACGGGAACGCACGUUCUGGUACCCCUGUAGAGUUCCAAUACAAGGAGUACGAGUGGCGUUGGCUUCUAACAUCAGAAUUCAACAACCCUCGUAAACAGGUAUUUAAAAAAAUUAAUUAGUUAAUUUGUCAUUAAGUACGUGCGUUUUUAAAUAUUUUACAAAUUGUUUAUUUUUUUCUUUGAACGCCGUUUCCCGGGCGAACGCUCAGAACCGGCAACGCAACACAAGGAACCAUCGUGCCGGUUCUAGACCGUUCGCUGUCUUCAUCGACGAGGCGGCCAGGGAACAUCUAGAAGUCAACCGGUACGUCUAUACGUACGAGAAGGCAUAUCCUGACGCCCAGGAGGAUAUUGUAAGUCAUCUUACGUUUUUAAAUUUUUAAUUUUACUUAUAUAUAUGUUAAAAUGUUAAUUAAUAAUUUUUUUCCUAUCCAAUUAGGCGAAAGUAAGGGAGGCUAGUGACGAGGUGAUGAGUGCUAUAGUGAGGGAGACAUGGCCGGACACGCAGGAGGAAGAGAUGUUCGAAGCCAUGUCCCGGAUCGACACUUCGGAUCUGACGGUUGGGGCGAGGAUCAUGGGUACAGCCUUCCCACCGCGAGCAAACAACUUGUACUGCCAGGGUCUAGGAAAGAAGGGCGAGGGGGUCCUGAAGACCACUCCAGGAUUUCAACGAAAUGCAGCCUCGACCAGCAGCAGGACCACGACCACCAAGACGACUCAGCUAGAGUCGGAAGUUCAGAGACUACGGGAACAGUAAGCUGCUCAGGUUGCCUAUAAUGUCGCGCAAGCAGCCUAUAAUGCGGCGCAAGCAACCUGUAAUGCCACGCAGGCAGCCUAUGCUGCCGAGAUACAUGCCAUCCAGCAGGCCCAGCAGCAGCAGAUGUUCCAGUAUAUGCAGGACUUUACAGCUGCCCAGCUUCAGGGACUUCCAACUCCACCCAUGCCUACGGCUAUAACGCAACCUCGACAGCAGCCCCCAGAAGCGGAUAUUAAUUUAGACGAUCUAGAUUUUGUGUAGUUGAUGAAUUAUAUAGUUUUUUGUGCUUGUUAUUGGUUAUAUAUAUAUAGAAUUGUUUUGGUGUAUUUUGCAGCUUGCUUGGAAUGGUAAUUUAGAAAUUUCGGGUUUUUUUUUUAUUAUUUAGAAUGGACUUAUAGCCGACGAAAUACGCCAUAAUUCGCCGGCUAUAGUAUUUUAAAAUUUUUUUUAUAAGGUUUAGCCGACGAAUUUUGGAAUGUUUCGUCGGCGAAACACUUCUAAAGCCGACGAAACAGCUGACGAAACAGACUAUAUUUCGUCGGCUAUAGUUAUUCUUUUAAUUUUUUAUUACACACUUUAGCCGACGAAUAACUUAAAUGUUUCGUCGGCUAAAGUCUGGGAAAAAAACCGACGACAUGUUUUUCAUCGGCUAAACUCUGGAACUAUAGCCGACGACGUCUUCUAGUUUCGUCGGCUAAAGUUAUCGCCGACGACCUUUUCCCGACGAAAUCUUAGCCGACGAAGGCUCGUCGGCGAUCUUAGCCGACGAAUUAAGCUAACAGGCCGACGAAACUUUUUCGUCGGCUAAAGUGUUUGUCCUGGUAGUGUGGCUAAACUUAGCUGAAACUCUAAAAGAAAUAACUUAAAGCACAUGAAAGAUAAGUCCUCUAACUUCGAGCUCAAAACCUCCACAAAUCUCCGACGUCCCCAGUAACCCGUUUCGAAAGCAUACUAGAAACCAAAAUUUAAUUGAGUGGUCUCAGCUAAUCACCCUGACACCAUCGGAUAAACACACAUCCAAAUAGCGAUGACCUGCCAGGUCAAAUCUGGAUUAGCAAGUGGUCCACCACGUUGCGAUCUGGAGAAAAGACGUCGCUCAACUUAUCCAUAUAUCUACUAACCACAAUAAUAUAUCUCUUAAUAAACCUUGACUCGGAAUGCUUCUUGAGUCAACAGGGGAAACCCCCUCCCCUAAGGCUCACUACCAGGACAAGCACUUUAGCGAACGAAAAAGUUUUGUCGGCCUAUUAGCAAAAUUUGUCGGCUAAGAUCUUAGCCGAUGAGCCUUCGUCGACAAUGAUUUCAUCGGGAAAGAGUCAUCGGCGAUGAUUUUAACCGACGAAACAAGAAGACGUCGUCGGCUAUUGUCCUAGAAUUAAGCCGACGAAUAUCUUAAAUGUUUCGUCGACCAUAGUCUGAGACUUUAGCCGACGAAACAUUUAAGAUAUUCGUCGUCUAAAGUAUGUAAUAAAAAAUUAAAAAACAUAUCUAUAGCCGACGAAAUAUAGCCUGUUUUGUCGGCUUUAAAAGGGUUUAGCCGACGAAUUACGGCAUGUUUCGUCGGUUAAACCCUAUAACUUCCCAACGUACCUUCCCCCAUGCACAACGUCCGCCCAACUGUUCUUCAGGUGCUCAGGAGCGUCAAACCACACCUGCAUUUAACCGUUUAUUAGUUUAGUUUUUCGAGAAAUCAACAAUGUAAUACAUAAUAUUAUUGAGGCAUUUUGUAAACUCAUCGACAUCGCGUUGUAGACCAUGUCCUUAAGAAAACAAAUCAUUCAUCUUUCAUUACCUGAGGGCGAUGCGGCGGACGUGAUGGAUUCCGUCUCUGUCGCCGAUAAUGAAACCCUCGCUGAAAUAAGAGGCGUAUCAAAAGGCACGAACCAGUACGCCACUGAUGGAGCCACUGGCGGGGGCAGUGGAUAAAUCGGCGUCCCUGAGCCAUCAACUGCAGGUAAGGCCGGUAUCAUCCGCGGAAGGAACAGAUGAGGCGGCGGCAUCUGUACCCCAUCUGACCCACCAUCCGAAGCAGUAGGACCCGGAGUGGGCGCUCGGUGUAUAUCAUACAUACGGGGUGCAGACACCUCCGUCUAGGUCUGAGGCCACAGCUGCCUCGAUGAAGGGGGCACCUCUAGCUGCCUCGAGGAAUGAGAAACGCUCGGUUGCCUCGAGAAAUGGGAAACGCUCGGCUGCCUCUGCGCUGUCUCCAUAAGGGUCGCACGUCUGGUCGUCAUGGGGCCUCGGAAUGACGUUUGAGGGUUGUUAGAGGUUCCCUCAGACGAUUCGGACCUUUGGCCCUUCGAACCCUUCGUCGAUCUAAAAUUACCGCUCAUCCUGUUUAAAAUAUUAAUUUGAAUCAAGGCUGAGGAAGAAAAACGAAUGAUUAUUUCUUUUAACUAAAAAGAUAUGUGGAGGUGCCCUGUAGGAGUUAAGGAGUAGAUUUGGGUAUAUUUUUUUUAUUAUAUUCCAAACAUCAAUCUUGUAAUGUAAUGUUAUCCGUAGGCUGUUAGAUUUUGCAUAUGCAAGUAUACCCUAUAACUUCUUAUGACAAAUUAUACAAAAAUACGACACUGUGCUCUAUAGCCACAGGGACAGUCUCUGGAUCUUAUUUUACUCAACUACAGCAAUUCAAGUGUGACACCAGCGAGCAGAUUCACAAGAACAACUCUCUAAAUACAACAGAAACAACCAACUCAAGCUUGUAUAGUUUUACUAAUGCAGAAUUUACUCAUUAUUUAUUUCAAGAUUUGAACUAUACAGCUGCCAAGAAAGAUAACAAUCAGCAGAACUCCAAAGGUUUAUUACCUCAAUUUUUAAGCACCUAGAAAUCGAUUUACGACAUACCAAUGUCCCAAAUAACCAUGUACUUGCACACAGUUAAUCUCAUUCACACCACCAAUCAACAAAAUCACUCGCAAACAACUGCACCUUCCCUUGACAUUCUAAUGAACCUAAAAAAAGAGACGCUUACUAUCCACCAUUCCGAAUUCCACAUCAACACAAAUGCUUAACAAUGUCGCUCUUUGUUUUGCUCUAAUCAUAUAUGUGAAUCAUUAAACUAAUUUACUAACUGAUCCAGACUACAUGAAACUUAAUAACGACACACCACAUGUAAAUCAUACACAAAAUCAAUAGGCAUAAAAAAUAUCCACAAUAUUUCAGCAACCAUAGAUUAAAACUUGCAUAAUCCAAACCACAACGAAGUCACACAAACAACAACGUGUGUAUAUAUAUAUAUAUAUUAAUCAUAAACCAUUCCACAAUAUCAAUACCGCAUAGAAACCCUAAAUUCCCAAAUUCGAAAACCUAGAAUGACAUAUCGAAAUCAAAAUCAGAGGAUUACACCACCUGACGAGCGACGAGCAGACGACAGGCGACGAGCAGACAACGGCGAGCAGUAUGGAGCAGCCAAGCAAGCGAGAAGGUAACAACGGUGAGCAGACGACGGCGAGCAAGUAACGACGGGCGACGAGCAGAUGACGGCGAGCAGACGGAGCAGCUAAGCAGGCGAAAUUUUUAGGGUUUUUUGGAGCGCUGUGGAGGCUGUCGAGCGCUAGGUUUAAUUAUAUAUCCUAUACCUUUAGCCGACGAAAUAAAACUUUCGUCGGCUAAACCUUUGAAAUUCGUCGGCUAAACCUGUGAAUCUCGUUGGCUAAACCUUUGAAAUACGUCGGCUAAACCUACGAAUCUCGUUAGCUAAAGUAAUGAAAUUCGUCGGCUAUAGUAUUUUUUAUACAUUCGGCACAUUGUGAUUAUGAUGAUCCAACUUGAGAAACGAAAAAUCCGACCGUCAGAUCUGACCAUCAUGAUAAAAUACAUGUACGGGAAAAAAUUCAACUUGAUCCGACAAGGUUAAGGGCUCGAUCCGGACGGUCAAUCCCGUAAGUCAAACCCCUAAACGCACGGAAAAAGUCAUUGGACCGUCUAAAUUACGUAUUUUGGCUGGACCUUCAACUGAAAAUAGUUUCAAAUCGAUGAGACGCAACAAGUCGUAUAAAAAAAUUUACAGAAAAUAACCACCGAAGAUAGGGCAACCCAUAGGGAGAAAGAAUGGAAAAUUGCAUUGACCGCAACUAUCGUCACCGAGACUUUACCGGAAUACCGUGAUUUUUCAACCGUGGACGUAUUUCACCAUUCUGGUCAUAUCUUAUUUCACGACUUUUUUGCGUUUGAAGAUUCCACGUAUAGUUUGUUUUUUAAACGAAACAUUUACUUGACACGGUAAACAAGUUAUACAAUAUUAGUAGGCAUGUUGUGAUUGUGAUGAUCAAACUUGAGAAACGAAAAUCCGACUGUCAGAUCUGACCAUCAUGAUAAAAUACAUGUAUGGAAAAAAAUUCAACUUGAUCCGACAUGGUUAAGGGCUCGAUCCGUACGGUCAAUUCCGUAAGUCAAACCCCUAAACGCACGGAAAAGGUCAUUGGACUGUCUAAAUUACGUAUCUUGGCCGAACUUUCAACUGAAAAUAGUUUCAAAUCGAUGAGACGCAACAAGUCGUAUAUUAGGGUAUUCGUCGGCUAAGGUUUAGGGUUUAGGGUUUAGCCGACAAAAUAUUAGAGUAUUCGUCGGCUAACCGCAUCUUAGCCGACGAAUUAUGACUUAUUUAAGAUGGUUUUAGCCGACGAAAUAUACUAUAAUUUGUCGGCUAUUUCGUCGGCUAAGAUGGUUUAAGCCGACGAAUUAUGAUAUAUUUCGUCGGUUAAAGUAUAAAAAAUACAUUAAAAAAACAGAAGGUUUUAAUGUAAACUAUACUAACUUCCUGUUCAUAUAUCACCAAAAUUCGUAUAAAAUAACAGAAAUAUGAAUUCAACAUAUGUAAACUAUAAAGGUAAUACAUUCUUUUUUAUUACAAAUUAAUGUAUUACGUCCUCUAAAUUAAAACUAAGGCUCGUAAUUGGAAUCAUCCGAUGAGUCUUCUUCGGUGUCAGAAUUAAUUUCUGGUAAUCUAUGCCUUUCCUCAUCGCCAGAGUUUUCGUCUGUUUCUUGAUUUGGAUCAACAUCAAUAAGCCUUGGCUCAUCAUCACGAAUUCGCACCGAACGACCCGCUUUAAAAUUAUUAAGGCGAACGGUAGAGGAGUUAGGAAUACCUAUUGCGGUGGGCUCUUGAUACGCAACAACUUCUUCCUCGUCUUCGGCCUCUCCAAGUGUAGCCGCCCGGUAAAUGUUUCGAGGGUGCACAAGGUUGACUACUUUCCACGUGUCACCCUUAACAAGGUCAUCAAGAUAAAACACUUGUUUUACCGAUAUGGCAAAAACGAACGGGUCAUCUUCGUAACAACUUGUAGUAGUGUUCACCGAUAAUAUUCCGUACUGAUCGGUCUUCAUGCUCUGCGGCCUAGUAUUAAACCAUUUACACUUGAAGAGGUGCACUGUCAUGCCUUGCCCAUAAACGAGUUCCACCACUGAAUGGAGAACACCGUAAUAGUCAACUUCAUUCUGCCCACCAUGCGCCAUCACCCCAGAAUUCUGUGUUCUCCGUCUGUUCUCUCUCUGUUCACAUAUAAAUUGCACGCCAUUCACCUUGCACAUCGGAUAAGCUCUUGAUAUUAUCGGUUUCAUCGCUAGAAGUCUUAGUUCGUGCGACCAAUUUGGGUGACCAUCAAAUUGAAUAUAGUUCAUCUACAACCAACCAUUCAACUGUAAAUAUAGAUAAUUAUGCAAUAAACAUAAAUACGUACAGAAAUAUUAAAUUACGUACCCAGCCGCUAAAAUAGUUUGCGAACUCCCUGUUGUGGUACUCGAGAUCACCUUGAAUGUCUAGACAAUAUAGAUGGAUGUCUUUCCAGUAUUCAACUUCUGGACAGUUAAUCAAUAUCCACCAGUGGGCAAUGACUAGCUCAUGUGGUUGCAACUUGUAGGAGUCUGGCAAACUUCCAUAAACUUCAACAUCACUGGAGAGUAUGGAAAGAUUGAACUUCGGUACAUCUACCGAUAUAAUUUGUGGAGUUUCCUUCAACGCUCCUAAAUACAACUUCAUGUAGGUGAUGCACUCUUGCGCAAUAUAUGCUUCAGCUAUACAUCUUUCAGGCGCGAAUUUAUUAGCCACAUAAUCUUUGUAGUCUCCAAGUUGCCUAUAAAUCAAGUUGCAAAGUGUUAUGAUUAUUGAACAUGUAUAUUGAGGAAUUCAGGUGUAAAAAACGAACCUUUCCAUGGGAUACAUCCAAGUGUAGUGUAUUGGACCAGUAAACAACAAUUGCUCGGGAAGAUGGAUCCUCAGGUGAGGCAUGAUGUCAAAAAAAUUUGGAGGAAAUAUCCUCUCAAAUUUACACAUGAUAUAAAUGAUGUCCUCUUGCAUUUUCUGGAGGUUAGAUUUUUUCACUUCCCGUGUGCAUAACUUCUGGAGGAAUCUUGCCAACGCUACUAAUGGCUCCACCACCUGACGGGGAAGGAACGGUCGAGUGAAAACAGGGAAGAGACGUUGUAGCAGGAUAUGACAGUCAUGGCUCUUCAACCCGUACAUCUUAUUGUCCUGGAAGUUCACACACCGGGCUAUAUUUCCUGCAUAGCCUGAAGGAUACUUCACACAACUCAUCCACCUGAAAAUUACGUUCUUCUGGUUAGGCUUCACGGUGUAAGGAGCUUGAGACAUUUUUUUCUUCCCUUCUUUCAACCACAGAUGUCUUCUUAUAAGCAUUUUUUGUAGAUCAAUGCGUGCCUUAGAACCGUCUUUCGUCUUCCCCUCCAAGUUCAGCACUGUGCCCACCACACUGUCGCAAACAUUAUUUUCUAUGUGCAUCACAUCUAGGUAGUGCCUGAUCAACAACUUACUCCAGUAUGGGAGUUCCCAGAAUAUGCUCUGAUGUGUCCAGAAUUUGUACCUGUCGGGUCUUUCAGGUAUUGCUGCCACAAUAUUGGGAUGAUUGCUGAGCUGCCCAAAAUUGUACUCAUUAAGCAUUGCUAAAAUUUCUUCCCCUGUCCAUCUUCUGGGAGGCACACCGUUUUCUACGGUCCCAUCAAAUGCCUUGUCAUCGAACCGCCAUUCGUGAUUAUAUGGAAGGAAAGUACGGUGACCUAAUUUGCAUAUCUUGUUGCAAUGACUACUGAUCCCCUCAUCGCUAAGGCACUCUAGACAAGCCUUGUAUCCCCUAACAACGUUGCCCGACAACAUCCCACGGGCAGAAAAAUCACUGAUGGUACCAACAACCAUGACAUGCAUCUGGAACAUCUCGUGCAUGUACUUGUCAUAAGUGAGAUGACCAACAUCCCAAAAAAACUUAAGCUCUUCAAUCAAAGGUCUCAAAUACACUUCGAGACACUUCCCUAGAUAACCGGGCCCCGGAAUCAACAAACUCAACAUAUUGUAUUCCUUCUUCAUGCACAUCCAUGGAGGAAGGUUGCAUGGUACCAAAAUCACCGGCCAUACACUGUAUUGAAGACUCAUGUUGCCAUAAGGGUUGAACCCGUCGGAUGAGAGCCCGAGCCUCACAUUUCGAACCACUGACGCAAAAUGAGAAAACUCCCUGUCUAUAUGCUUCCAAGCCUCCCCGUCAGCAGGGUGUAUAAGUGUAUCUUCGUCAUGCAAUUCCCUAUCAGUGUGUCAUCUCAUAGCUUCGGCCGUGUGUGAAGACAUGUACAACCGCUCCAGCCUAUCCCUCAACGGGAAAUACCGAAGUACCAUCACAGGUUUCCUAUUGCCUGCAGGAGUCAGCUUAUACCUGUCAGUUUGUUGUACUUGUCAAUACCAGCAGUGUUGACCCCUCUAGGGAAGGGCUGCACCGGCUCAGGCACAUACUAUCCUUGAGCGCAUACACCGCUCUCAUAAAGACACAUGUCGUUGAUGAACGUCGUUGUUGGAUCGUUGGAUGUACUGCCCGUCUCAGAAAAUUGCCCAUGAUCAUGCGGACCCCUUGAUGAUGUUUCACCGUGAUAUAACCAACAUGUGUACUUCUCCCAAAACCCGUUACUCUUCAGGUGCUGCCAUACUUUGUCAAUCGCAAAUGGAUGCAUAUCGCUGCGACACUGACAUUUCGUGCACGGGCAAUAGAAAAUUGUAUUCCCGUUAGCAUUAGCCAGAGCAUAUUCCAGAAAACUCAUAACUCCUUUACAUAUCUUUUGUCCCAUUUUGGAAGCGAAAUCCAACUCUUAUCCAUAUCCUGAAAAUAUAACAAAAUAUAUAUGUAUAACUCUAAUUAAUUAAAUUCCAUAUAUAAAAUCUCAAUUCAUUUAGUAUUCUACGUACUACAACUAAUUAAUAACAAAUUAAUUAACACAAAUAUAUAUAUACUUAAUAAUUACAUAACAAUAUUAUAUAUUAUUAUAUAUUAACAAUAUUAUAUACUUAAUAAUUCCCAUCUCACAACUGAAAUUUAACAAUUUAUGAUAUCAAAUCAAUAACCCUUGGAAAAAACAUAAUCUAAACACCUUUUCCUUACCCAAAACAGGAUGAUCACUUAAGAGGUCGGCAUACGGAGGCAUAGUCUUGAAGAUAUAGACAUUUAUGGCACAAUACUGUCCAUAAAUAAGAUAAGAACAACUACCUCACAAACCUAAUUAACACAUAGCAUCUAAAACAUAUAAUGCUAAUGGAUCCGCUGCGGUCGGACCAUCAUUCUAUAGACACUAAGUAUGACCAAGUAUAUGAGGUAGUAAUUAAAGGAGAAAGGAACGAAUAACCUAAUGCUCUGAUACCAACUGUCAGGACCCACCCCGAAUUUCACCCUGAAAUCCGAAGUAAAUCCUAUGGGGAGCAAGGAAAAUUUACCGAAAAUUUGGUAUAACCUCUCUUGAAAAUGGACAACCCUUCCUUAUAAAACACUUGCAAACACUUCUAACAAUCCAAAUCCAACUUUAUACUUCUGGAGCCUUUGUGCUCCCCAAAUUCACAACACCUCCCAAAUUAUUUACCAAUAUAAUAAAAAUCCCCUAACCAACAAUUCAUAGGUUCAGAACAAUUCUAACAGUGAAGGGAAGAUAAAUAUAUAUAUAUAUAUAUAUAUGAGCAGAAGCUAUACGAAAGACUAUGCCUUGACUCCAUGUACUCCCAACCCCAACUAUGCCAACCUGCAAACUAGGCAUUUAAAAACGAAGGGCCUAGGGGAAAACAUUUGAAAACAUUAGAGUGAGUGGAUAAAAGUAAAUUUAAGAGAAAUGAGCAACAAAUAACUUUAUGCUUUCCCGAUUAAAUUUUCAUAGAGAAGAUAUGCUGCGAACGACAAGCUCAAAAGCUUUUAACUCAAAAACUGGCAAUUACAUGACUGCUCCGGCUAGUCUCCAAAACUUUAUAAGAUAGAGCCUCUCAGGUUAAAAUAUAAAAAUAUGUAUGUAUUUACACUUGUCAUAUUCUUUGUAUGAAUUCUUAUGAAGAAAUAUAAGAAAAAUAGAAAUUCAUACAAGGCUACGACACUUGCGUCUAACGCUCAAAUCACGUCAUAAUAGAAUUUUACCUUAUUAUGCCAAAAGACUGUCACACCCCGGUUCUUAAGUUAUUUGACGGUUAUUUAUGUUUGGUUUUAUCUUGGUUUUUUACCGUGUUAAGUAACUGUUUACUGUUAAGGACCCUAUAGUUGACUUUUUGUAGAAAAGUUAUUUUGGAAAAAUUUCUGUAAGGAAGUUGUAGAGGACAUUAAUACAAGUUCAUAAACAUGCUAUACGUUAAAAUCGGAGUUAGCAUGAAAAAGUUAUCAACUAAAAGGGUAAAUUUUGAGUUGGUAAAAAGGGGGUAAAAUUUAGUUGGUUUUAUUUUUUUUGGUUGGUGUUUAAGUUGGACUGGGUAGGUGUGGAGAAGCCCAACACCCACCCACACACUCUCUCUCCCGUGAACUUUUCCCGACUCGCCGGAGACCCAGCUUCUGUCCGCUGCCGUCCAGCCACCACAGACCGUCGGACACAGCUUUGUUCGUACCCCCAUCAUCUCCUCUCCCUACCUGGGCUAGUGUCCGAGCCGACGAUGCCGCCGGAUAGGAGGGAAACUCCCCUAAAGACCCGACUGCCUCUUCGCCGGAGCUCUCUCCUCCGGCCACCAUAGUGUUGCACACGCAAUUUACGUGUGCAUCUAUACUUAAUUACCUUGAAAUUAGCAAGUACUCGAGCACUAUUUGUAGUAUUUACUUUGUUUUCUUCAUUUGUAGGAAAUUAUGGUCAAAAGAAGAAAAAGACAUUAGAAGUGGCUAAUUGAGAGAAAAAAGACAAUUUCCAACUUAAGGACAAAAGUCAACGGGUUGACCUUCGGGUCAACGGAGUCAACUCGGACCAAGACCAAAGAAGCCCACAAAUGAAGACCCAAGCCCAAGACACAAGACCAAAGAAGCCCACAAGUGAAGACUCAAGCCCAAUUGUGUUGGAUUUCAUUUUACCCAUUUUCUCCUUGUUUUUGAGCCAUUGGAUCUAGGUUACAAGUUUAAUCUUGACCCUUGAAUCUAAGAGGCUAUUUAAACACACUUUCACUCUCAUUUCAAAGAGGCUGAACCGAGUUUAGUAUUUAUUAUCACCCAAUUUUGAGUAUUAUUUCCCUUGAUUGUUGGAAUAGUAUUUGGAAUUGUGGGUAGCAUAAUUGUUAUCGCAAAUACUCUUUUCGAUCUCAUUAUUUGUGGUAAUGGUUGCUAAACUAGGAUAGGCAAAACCAAAGUGUUCUUUCUCCCACUAACUUUCACUUAUGGUUUACCUCCUAUUGUGUGACAAUCGAUUUAGCUUUCUUUUCGGUCUCUUAAUGCUAAAAGGAAAUCCGGCAAAACAUUGAAGCAUCUUUUGAGUUAAUCAUCAUUAUUGCCAUAUGAUUCUUAUUUGGGUAGAGAACCUUGAAUUCCAUGGUGACCCUUGGGUGAUGCAUCCCAUCCUUCUAUCUAUUUUACUUUUAUGUCUUAGUUAUUUAGUUUGUUUGUUAGUUGAAAACCCCAAAAACAUUAUGACACAUUCUCUACCAUUUCUUUGUAAAUCCAUUGUGUGAGCCUCAUUGUGCAUAUAUGUAUAAGUGAUUGAUGACUUAGACCAUAGGAUUGCUAGCUAGCUCGUGAUCCCCGUGGUUUGAUAACUUCGCGUCUAAAUAUUUCUCACUUCUUUGAUGACCGUGCUCUUAUUGCGCGUAAGUUGCAAUUAGCAUCAAAUCAAAUGGCGCCGUUGCCGGGGAUUGGAGUUUAAUAUCUCUAAUCCCUUGGUUUAUGGUCAUUAGUCACUUGCAUGUUUUUCUUGUUAGUUUUUUUUUUUUUUGUAUUCUUUGUUUGUGUGUGAAAUAAUGAAAAAUUCUUGGCAACUAGUUGUGCCAUAAAAAAAAAAGAAUUUUAUGCUAUAUUCUUAAUGUAUUUCCUACCCUAUUUAGCUUCGUUAAUUCCUUAAUAAUGCCAUUUCUAGCUUGUUUCUGUGUUGUAGGUCAAAAGAGGCAGUUUAUACAAAAGAAGACUAAAACGCAAGAAUUGAGCGAAAUCCUAAUCAAAGGAGGAUUCCUGGUGCAGCAAGGAGUCUCAUUAAGUCGCAGAAUCAAAGGAUAAGUCAUUUAGGAAACUUUCCUGUUUUGAAAAGGGAAACUUUCCUAUUUCAUUUUAAGAAACUUUCUUAUUUUGAUUUAGGAAACUUACUAUUUCUAAAUCUUUCCUAUUCUGACUUUCCUAAAAUGAUUAGGAAACUUUCUUUUCUAAUGAGACAGGGAAACCUUUUGCAGUCAGAAAACCUAAUCCAACUUGGAAUAGGAAUCUGUGAAUGUGUAUAAAAGGGGGAGGACGAAUUCUGCAGCAAUCAAGGAUUUUAUAUGUGCUAAUCAGAGAAUUAAGGGAGAUUCUUUCCUUUAAAUUCGUCAUUUGAAUUCUGUUAUUCCCUAUCAUAUCUAUCUGAUUUUAUUUCCCUUGCAGGAACCCUAAUUAUGCACCAAGAAAGGAAGGAAAAUCAUGGAUUUUCAUCAAAGGUCUAAUUGAGGGCAGAAGAGGGAAAGUUCUUAAUCACAGGGAUUUCCUUUGGAGAACAAGGAGUGUACCUGGUCCAUAUUCAAGCCUUAUGCAAUGGAUUACUGCACAAGACAUUCCAGAGAAUUCUGGGAAGGUAUAAAUCAGGAUUUAAAGCAAUAAUUCUGCACUGUUGGAUCACAAAUCAAUCAAGGGCUAGGAAGAUAGCUAGGGUUCGGCCAAGACAGUAUAUAAAGCAGCAGAGAGCAACGUUUUUGUCAUCUCUUCUUCGCACAGAAAAUCAGUCAACAAUGUUCUCUUUCUCUCUUCCUUUGCCGAACAUCUCCAAGCCAAGAAGCAAGAAGCCGGUGCUCUUUAGGACGUUUCCAAGAAGCUCUGAAGUCCUCUAGGCGUCUGCUUGCUUACACUCUACCGUCUUGAAAGACCUUCGCAGAACCAAUAAAAGUGUAACAAUGUCUAGUACUUUUUGCUUUCUUCGUUUCUGUUUUGGUUUUUGGAUUGAAGUUAUGAAUUUCAUCUUUAAGAUUGGAUGGAUGCUUUGGAUCUGAAAUUGAGAAUUUUCAGAGUAAUUUAAGCAUGUGUUCGACUUUUCUAUGAUAUUUUAUGUUCUGUUUUGUUGCCUUGUUGAUUCAUUAAAUGCAUAGUUUUGUUUUCACCAAAACUCUAAUCUGCAGGUUAGUGUUGCUAUGAUCUAUACUAAGCUUCUUCAAGUAAGUGUAGAUCUUCAGUAGUAAGGGCUAUGUAAUAAUAGCCGAAACCGAGUGUUACAUGCUUACAAGUUAAGCAGCUUCCUGUAAACUUGGGCAUGUUCAAAUUCAAAAUUCUAUAGCACUUAAUGAUUCAUGUUUAGUGUAGACGGGUACUUUGAGCGAUACAAAGUAUCGAUCGCAGCCUUUGCAUGAAAUACCCUAGGUUCUAGACUUCUCUGUGCUUAGGAGAUAAAUUAAGUAGAAUUAAAGGAAUGCAUGACCGCUGCGGCUUGUGUUUUGAGUUUGUUUUUGUCAUCACUUGGCGAUGAAUUUGAUUAUAUGGUUGAGACAUGUUGAUACUUGCUUGACUGAUUCUGAAAUUGCUGGUUGAUGUGUGUGGAAGAUGAUCACUUGUAUAUAUUUUACUUUACUUUCUGUUUUCGUAGGAAUGUUAGAACCAGAUCUCUAAAAUCCCCCCCCCUGAAAUCCUGUAAAUGUAAUUGCUGUUUAUAUUCUGUGAUUAACUUUUCUAGUGUGUAAACGCAAGAGCACCUUAAAGUCCCCGGAUUAAUCGAACCUUAUUUACCAAUACUACAAUUGUCAAAACAGGGUUCGUAAUUGUUGCACGCCCGAAAACGAGCUCGUCAAUUUUGACGCCGUUGCCGGGGACUUUAAAGUCUCCUACGGUUUUCUUUUAGUUUAAAUACUUAGUUUACUCAAUUAAUUGUAGUACUGAUUGUUUGUUUUAUUUUCUUUUCAGGUUUAUCUCUCAUUUGGUAAACUGUUCAGUUAAAGAGGCCGCAAAGCAGAGUUGGGCCUUAACCCUUCAUGAGUUCCUUUUCAAGGUGUCUCGAGGUUGAGGGCGGCCCGUAUUGUGCUCUUGUUGGAUCAUCAAAAAUAUAAGUUGUUCCUAGCUGAGUAAGGGGCAUUUUGAGUGGUGCCUAGGCCCGAGUAAGCGACUGGGACCAAAAUUGGGUUUCAAAGAGCUAUAGACUGUGUGUAAGCACGAUAGGGGUUUCAACCUCCGUAGCCCACUGAAAACGAAACCCUCCCAGCCCGUUUCACUUUGGCCUUGCCAUUCAAGCCUUCUGAAACCACGGAAUUGCUUAUGUUUAGAUGGCAACAGCUAUGUUGCCACCAAUACAGUUUACAACUUGAGAUAUAAAUUUGAAGGGUGAAUAAAAUUUAGAAUCAGUAGUGUUGUAUUAUUGUUGUUUAAACUGUGUUGUAAGUCGCACUACGGUAUAUUGGAUCAAACAUGACUAUGGAUUGGGUAGCUGUUUCAGUCCCAUUGCGCACCAUUGUCCUCUGUUCCCGUACCUAAGUGUAGAGUUGAAAUAAACUUAAGCAUAGGAUAAUGCAGACGUGUAGAGUCUUAUGUGUUUAUGGAAACUCAAUGUUGUUUAACUUGUCUGACUAUACUUUUAACUUCUGUAAAUUUGUAUGUCUUUUCACUAACAAUUACUUUGAAUGUACAGAUGACUUUCCCCAAUAAGCCUUCAAUCCUGGACACAAUCUUUUACUUCAAGAAGGGUGCCACAUUUGACAACAUGCUUAAGGUGGUACCAAAGUUUGACGGCAUUGGAAGUUGGGAUGCAGCAUCUCACGUUGCACAUGUAGAGAACGUGUGUACACUCAUGGUUCCAAUGGAGCUCAAUGCAGAAGCUGUGGCUGUGAACAUCUUUCAGCGAAGCUUGAGAAGGGAGGCCACAAAAUGGUUUCUUGAUGAGCUUGAUCACAAUGUCACUUGGGACACAUGCAAGGAGUUAUUCCUGAAGAGGUUCACAAGAGGAGGAGCUGAAAAAGAGCAAGUGCAACCAGCACGUAGGGAAGAGUGGCCACGCCAUGUCUAUGAAGAAAGGAUUGCACAAGCUCAGCCUAGAAAGAUCCCAGAUCUGGCAAGCUUUCCUUAGCCAUCUCUGCUGCCCAAGAUGGAGGCCAUUUCACCAAAAUCACCCCACCUGAUCCCUCCCCACAAGAUGAUUACCAAGAGGAAGAAGGAGGAGCGCAUGCAGAAGUUAAUUCCCAUCAUUGAAGAGCUGCAGAAGGAGCAAGUCGUCCUUUUUGAGUCCAUCAGCAAGAUCAACAAAAGAAUGGAUGAUAUGCACUCCAAAGUGCUUGCACUCUUUGAGGAGAUAUUUGGUGGCUUCUCUCUCCCAGAUUCUCCCUCUGCUGCCAAAGGUUGGAUGAACAAUGUUGAUGAAGAAACCCUGUUUGCAAAUGAGGAUUGAAGAUGAAAGUCAUCCGUCUUGCUCAAGGACGUUAAACGAGGUGCUCUAGGGAGGCAGCCGUACAAGAAGUCGCACACUUGUGCAAUUUUGAGUCUUUCUGUUUUUGUUUCAAAUUCAAGUUUUUGGAUAUUGUAAUAGACUUAUUAGUGGUUUGUUACAUCUUUUUGCAACUAUUUUUGGACAUCUUUUUCUUUAUUUUUACUUUGUUAUUUUUAUUUUUAUUUUUAUGAGUUUCAUUUUGUGAAAGUUGGAUUAAUAUCUUGUUUUUGAAAUGCAGUUCUACUGACUAUGAGUCAAUUUGCACGAAAAUCACAAGUGUUUCUCCAUUCUCUGGACACCCUACAUCUACUUUGAAGUAUCGAUUGCAAGGAGCUUUCAUUUGAAGGUCAAGGUCGCCUACCUUGAGGCAAGUGCCUAAAUUUCAAUCCUACCCGAAAGCUGUGAGUAUGGGAUGCCUACAAGGGGGAGCUUUCUCAACUUUAAACUCUUACUUUUUGUUCAUUAGUUUUUAUUUAGUGGUUUUGUUGUGAAUCCCUGUUUCCAUGCUUUAUUUUAUGUUGCAUGCUAUAUCUUGUUCUACAUUGAGGGCAAUGUAGAGUUUAAGUGUGGGGGAAGGAUUUACAUUUUCAUUGAGUCUUAUUUUGAAAAAUAUAAAAAUAAAAAAAAUGUCAAAAUUUAAAAAUUUUCGCUUGCUUUUUUUUAGUCUUUUGUUUGUUUUUGAGUCAUAGGAGCCCUUAACUGUAACGCCCCGAUUUGCACCUCAUCAAAUCGAGCACAUUACAGUGCCGCGUUCUCUUAGAACCUAAGCUAGGACCCAUCACUCAAGCCCUAAGAACCCGCAAGGCAUUUUAAUUAAACUAACUAAAGCUUUUAUAAAUUGAAAAUCAAAGUUGAAGUCGGAAGCGUUACAUAAAUGAGGUGUAAAACAUUAUAAUAAAACAGAUUUACUUCCUUUGAAUCAAGCUAUAAAGCAUAAAGCAAAACUAAUGCGAAAUAACUACUCUAGUAAAACAUAGCCAAGAUCAACUAAAACAUAUCUCCUUGAUAGUACGGGUAACACUGACAAGAAAAUAAAAUAAAGUGGCUGACAAAACAAACAACAUCGACAAGGUUUCCAAAUAAAACACAAGGGAAUGUAUCGAAUAAUCAGGAUACAAAAUGGAAACCUUACGUACGAUAACAAAUUCAAACAAACAUUUAACUUUAACCAAAUAUGCACACCCAGCUCAACCCAGCUCAAUCCCGUUCUUGUGCACAGAACCUGCAUCCAAAACUGUUGUAGGGGUGAGCUUUCGUCCUCGCUGCUCAAUAAGACUCAACCAACUAGGUUUAGAAACUAUUUAAUUUAUUGGCCAGUAUGUGAAAACAAAUAUAAAUAUAAAUCAUGAUCAAAGUAUAAGUUUCAUUUAGAAAAAUAUCUACGCGCCCAGAAUACACAAACUUGAUGACCGGUCCUCUUAUGCCAACUACAACCUUCCCACAAUUAAUAUCAUCCAUACUGGCAAGGUGCAGCGAGAGUGUCUAUUUACGCCAUACCGCCUAGGAGCGACGCCAUACCUCAAAAGAUGUCAAACGUCCUCCAAUCCGUACAGCCCCUCCGGAGGUUUAGGGGAUCGAAACCCAAGGAAGUCACUAUGCCCCGCUCACUCUCAAGUCAUCACACAAUAUCGAAAAUAUUGAAAACAAGCAUGGCAAUAGAAAUAUUAAAUUUUCAUAAUAAACCAAUCACAGCCAUGCGAUUAUUUUUCAUAUAUAAUAUACGAAAAACCACUAGCCAAGAAGAGUCUAGAAUCCCUUACCUGGUAUUCCUGGAGUUCGAAUCUUUACUCCACAAUGCUAGGCAAACACCACGACACUCGAAAACUCGAAAACCAGAGCUCUGUCCGACAAAUUCAAAUAUUAGCUUCUUAGUCCUCAAUUAAGUAACUCUUUAAGAACAUAUAAACAUCGCUUGUAAUUUUGACAAAUAGCCCUUCAUUUUCAAUAUAUUCAUAUAUACCAGGUGAUCAAAUCUUUAUUUCUAGCUCAGUUGAGCUUCAGACCCCAAAUUGGUAUCAUAUGCAAUUGUUAAUAUUUAAUUCGGUUCAUGCUGGAAGUAUAUAAACUGAUUCCAAUAAAAUCACUCAUACAUGUGCAGUAACUUUCGUUUCCAUACUUUUCAUCUAUAUCAUGAUUUGAACCAAACCAAACACACCUAACAAAUAUUACCAAGUUCAUUCUAAUUGCUCAUGUGAUCACUUUAUCAAGCAUGUACUCACGGUGGAUGAUGAUUAUUCCUAUUUACUUUAUGUUAAGAUAUAUAUAACCCUUAAUCAACAAGCUCACAUUUAAAUUGAUAACCAAGGUUCCCUUUAAUUAAAUUUCAAUUCCCAAAAUACCAUUCAAUGACAUAUCCAUCCAAAAUAUUCACGGUCAUGCAAUUCAAAGGAUUGAAUAUCAACCACAAUCUUGAAAGAAACUCCUCAAAGCUUCCAUACACAAAUCCUUGUCUUACCUUAAUAAAAACAUAUGAGAGUGGCUCCUCUUUGGUAGACAAAGUAGCUCCUCUAAUAGAAGAUACGGUGAACUCGCCCACCUCCACUUCUUAAUGAUAGAACUUAAUUCAACUGAAAGUUCUCAGUCAACUCCUUUUCUUCUAUUGCGAUAUUAGAACACAAACAUCAAUACUCCCUCUUUUCUAUUUUUAUCAAAUAAAAACACCAAUCAUCACUGCCCCAAGUUCAAAGUACAGAACCGAACUCUUAGAGAAAGACUCUUACCCAUGUUUGGUUCCUUGUCUGUUGAUUCACUCAGUCCAACUCUCUGCAGCCUUCCCACAUCUGACUUCUUAGAGAAUCAUCAUCUUCCUUCUCUACCCAAUUAGCUCAUCUCCUAGUUUGGAUUCGGUUUUCCGUUACCAAAUUGUCAACAAACAAUCAGAAGUUCAGAAAGCAAUCUCUCCCAAAAUCAAAUUCCGAAAUAGAUGGGUUCUCGGGUUUUACCUUACAACGACAAGAGAAAGAUGAUAAAGAGCUUGCUUAUCGAUUUCCACAACUCAGACUCAACGUCGAUGGUACAUAGCCGAACAACCCAAACUCCAUCCCAAACUCCUUCUCUGUUGUAUCCUUGAACUGAAGAUUAACAUCCCACCAUGAAUAUUGAGCAGCUUUGUCUUCUUGAACAUGAUUAGAGAGACAAAGAGAGAAAGAAAGAGAGUGUUCGUGAGAGAGGGAGAGAAUACGGGAGAAGGUUCCGGUUCUUCUUAUCAAUUUCUUCAUUUUAUUUGCCUUAUGUGUGAAAUCACAUUGUUGCCCUCAACUUGACUCUUAGCACAUUUUGUGACCCAAAGUGGAUUGAGCUGUUCAAGCUCACUUCGAAAAUAAAAACUUUCGAGCCCAAACAGAAUCAAGUGUUUUAUGUCCACAACAGAAAUUGUUUACUAAAAGUUAUCGGAACUUUAUUUUCAUAUAGCCAUAACUUUACGGGGUCUCACAUUAACUGUCUAUGAUGAUUAAAAUCUUUGAAAUUAUGGUUAAGAUCGCAAGAUGAUUUCCAACUGAUAUUCUGAAGUUAAUUGAAAUGAAUGGAAAUCAUGUGAAACGUAGUGGAUAUGAUUUGAAUCUCUGGUACAGAAAUGAGCAUGCUAAGACAAGUUUUGAUUCAUAUGAACCUUAAAUGUGAGCUUUUGAGCCUAUAUAUAUGUGCUAUUCUUUCUGAGUGAUAAUUGAAAAUAUUCUAAUUCUUUUUCUUGGCUAUAACAGUUGAAAACCUCAUUGUUCUUUCAAUUCGAUUGAUUGCCCACCAUAGCUUUUAAUGAACUAGAGAUGACUAGAACUCACUCUUGUGAACUUUCGAAACUUUUAAUCAUAAAACACUCUGAUUUUAGAAAGGAUAAAUGGAACUUUUUAGGAUGAUCACCAUUGCCAAAUAAACUUGUGUCCCUAUUUGUGUGCGCUGCACACCCCUUAGUUUGAGCCUCUUUGAGCCUACAUUAAGCCUUUUCUUUCAUCACCUAUGUAAUUUUUACCUGAGCUUAGUACAACAUAUCUCUACCCUUGUCCUUUGGGCCUAGUAGAGCAUUUUCUGUGAAGACUGCAUGAGGUGACGAUGAAGAGCAAGUGUGGGGGAAGGAGUUUCUGUAAUGUCCAUGUUAAUUGAAAAGAAAAGAAAAUGCCGUGAUAAAAAAAAAGGAAAAAAGAAAUUAAAGAAUAAAAUUUCGGCAGAAAAAGAAAAGAAAUACUAGACAUUGUUGUUGUUUGUGGAUCAGGAGUUUUGAUGUAAAUGGAAGGCCUAAAAUCGAAAUAUUUGGCAUUUGUUAUGUUUCAUGUUGUGUAAGGAGGUGCAGUGACGUUUUGGAGGACCAAAAGAUGUCUUGGUCCUUGUUUUGGCGACAUAUGGCGUUGGUUAAUGCUCUGUUAGGUCCUAAGGAAUUUUUGCAAUUCUUUGCCCUUAAAUUCAUACCCCUAGCCUAGCCAAAUUUAUACCUUGUGAAGUUCCUUUUGAUCUAAAAGAUGAGUAAAACUUGAUCUGUGGAGUUUGUUCCAAGAGUUGAGCCUAUGGUAUGGUUCAUUUGUGUGAAUAAUCAUAUUCUUUCAUGAGGUUUAUAUCUGAUCUAUUGUGCUUUUGUUCAUAUAAAUGCAAGCUUUCUGAUUCUAUAUUGCAUACUUGUUGAGUAAAUUAGCCAGAAAAUCUGAGUGAAGAUUGAGUGCACACCUUGUGAGAAUGAAUCAUAUUUGUUUGAAACAUGCUGAGCUUAAAUAUCACCAUUGUUCUAUCAAGUCCUACGUGUAAAUAUGUGAUCUAUGUAUGGCAGUUAGCUUCUGAAACUUCAUGGAAUGAUUCUUGGUUGAAUGCUAAUAUUGAUGCCAUGAGAGUAGAGAUUCUAAAACAAUAGUUAUGGGCAUUAGAGUUUGAGUGUCUGUUUAUGAUUUAUUUAUUUAUUUAUUUUUUCAAGUCUGUUUGUUUAUUUUUGUUUAGAGUCUGUUUGCUAGUUUGGGUUUGCUAAGGCACUAGUAAAAGCUAAGUGUGGGGGAAUUUGAUACACGCAUUUUAUGCAAUAUUCUUAAUGUAUUUCCUACCCUAUUUAGCUUCGUUAAUUCCUUAAUAAUGCCAUUUCUAGCUUGUUUCUGUGUUGUAGGUCAAAAAAGGCAGUUUACACAAAAGAAGACUAAAACGCAAGAAUUGAGCGAAAUCCUAAUCAAAGGAGGAUUCCUGGUGCAGCAAGGAGUCUCAUUAAGUCGCAAAAUCAAAGGAUAAGUCAUUUAGGAAACUUUCCUGUUUUGAAAAAGGAAACUUUCCUAUUUCAUUUUGGAAGGGGGAAGACGAAUUCUGCAGCAAUCAAGGAUUUUAUAUGUGCUGAUCAAAGAAUUAAGGGAGAUUUUUUCCUUUAAAUUCGUCAUUUGAAUUCUAUUAUUCCCUACCAUAUCUAUCUGAUUUUAUUUCCCUUGCAGGAACCCUAAUUAUGCACCAGGAAAGGAAGGAAAAUCAUGGAAAUUCGUCAAAGGUCUAAUUGAGGGCAGAAGAGGGAAAGUUCUUAAUCACAGGGAUUUCCUUUGGAGAACAAGGAGUGUACCUGGUCUAUAUUCAAGCCUUAUGCAAUGGAUUACUGCACAAGACAUUCCAGAGAAUUAUGGGAAGGUAUAAAUCAGGAUUUAAAGCAAUAAUUCUGCACCGUUGGAUCACAAAUCAAUCAAGGGCUAGGAAGAUAGCUAGGGUUCGGCCAAGACAGUAUAUAAAGCUGCAGAGAACAACGUUUUCAUCAUCUCUUCUUCGCACAGAAAAUCAGUAAACAACGUUCUCUUUCUCUCUUCCUUUGCCGAACAUCUCCAAGCCAAGAAGCAAGAAGCCGGUGCUCAUUAGGACGUUCCAAGAAGCUCUGAAGUCCUCUAGGUGUCUACUUACACUCUACCGUCUUGAAAGACCUUCGCAGAACCAAUAAAAGUGUAAGAAUGUCUAGUACUUUCUGCUUUCUUCGUUUCUGUUUUGGUUUUUGGAUUGAAGUUAUGAAUUUCAUCUUUAAGAUUGGAUGGAUGCUUUGGAUCCGAAAUUGUGAAUUUUCAGAGUAAUUUAAGCAUGUGUUCGACUUGUCUAUGAUAUUUUAUGUUCUGUUUUCUUGCCUUGUUGAUUCAUUAAAUGCAUAGUUUUGUUUUCACCAAAACUCUAAUCUGCAGGUUAGUUUUGUUUUCACCAAAACUCUAAUUGCUUAGUGUGAUAAAGGCAUGGAAAUUGUUUGUGACUUUGAUUACCGGCUAAGGUUUGGUUUGGGACCGAAGGAGUUAUAGUUGUGAAGUUAAUCGAAAUGAUUAUUAAUUUCUGUUGGUCAAACGUGGGUCAAGCCUGGUCAAUUUCUGGUCAACCUAAGAGAUUCUAAUCGAAUUAGGAAGAAGUUGAAUAGUUAAUUUUUAUGGGGUCGGGUCUGACCGAUUUGUUCAUCUGUUUAUUAUCAGACGUGGGUUUUGGCUAUAGAGUGUGAAUAUUUGGAGGCAGCGCUCGAGAAGUAUUCCGAGCAUUGGAAGGCUUAGGCCUCAUACGGUGAGUGGACCUUUGUUUUAAAUAAAAUGCAUGCUAUAGUUCAUAGAUGAACAAUUAUUGUUGCGGAGCAUUUUGACGUCAUUUUAUUUUGAUGAUUUUAUUUCUCUUGGAGAGUUACCGAAAAUGGGAUUUUUGGUGAAUAUAAAUAUGUAUUUAUGAGGAGAGUAUGUAUAAAAAUGCUAGCUAGGCCUAUCUGUCUGUCCACCUUAAUGGCGUAGCAUAUAGCCGCAUUAUGGUGUGACGUGAGCGUUGGACGCGAGCGUAGUAGCCCUAUAUGAGUAUUUAAUUCAUAUAGGGGGUAUGGGCACAUAUUUAUACACCCGUCUGUCCACCUUAAUGGCGUAGUGUAGCACCGCAUUAAGGCGUGACGUGAGCGUUGGACGCGAGCGUAGUAGCCCUAUAUAGACCCAUGAAUUUAUAUAGGGAGUAUGGACGUGUGUAAAUACAUACAUAUAUUAUAGAGCCUGAGAGGCUCGACAUUUAUGAGAUAAAAGUUUUAUCGCUUGCAGCAUGCAUUCGAUUUUCCUUGGAAAUUG
rnacentral:lncRNA from 1 species